UACGGAGGGUGCAAGCGUUGUUCGGAUUUAUUGGGCGUAAAGCGCGUGUAGGCGGUUUCUUAAGUCUGAUGUGAAAGCCCCGGGCUCAACCCGGGAAGUGCAUUGGAUACUGGGAGACUUGAAUACGGGAGAGGGUAGUGGAAUUCCUAGUGUAGGAGUGAAAUCCGUAGAUAUUAGGAGGAACACCGGCGGCGAAGGCGGCUACCUGGACCGAUAUUGACGCUGAGACGCGAAAGCGUGGGGAGCAAAC
rnacentral:rRNA from 1 species